GACGAACGCUGGCGGCGUGCCUAAUACAUGCAAGUUGAGCGCUGAAGGUUGGUACUUGUACCAACUGGAUGAGCAGCGAACGGGUGAGUAACGCGUGGGGAAUCUGCCUUUGAGCGGGGGACAACAUUUGGAAACGAAUGCUAAUACCGCAUAAAAACUUUAAACACAAGUUUUAAGUUUGAAAGAUACAAUUGCAUCACUCAAAGAUGAUCCCGCGUUGUAUUAGCUAGUUGGUGAGGUAAAGGCUCACCAAGGCGAUGAUACAUAGCCGACCUGAGAGGGUGAUCGGCCACAUUGGGACUGAGACACGGCCCAAACUCCUACGGGAGGCAGCAGUAGGGAAUCUUCGGCAAUGGACGAAAGUCUGACCGAGCGACGCCGCGUGAGUGAAGAAGGUUUUCGGAUCGUAAAACUCUGUUGGUAGAGAAGAACGUUGGUGAGAGUGGAAAGCUCAUCAAGUGACGGUAACUACCCAGAAAGGGACGGCUAACUACGUG
rnacentral:rRNA from 1 species